GCCAUUGCUGAAAGCUUGUGUGAACUUAGCACUGAUCAGUAUGGAACAUAUUUUACUUGAUGGUGGAGCUCAUAAGGGAAGCUGAUGAGGUGUUUGAUGAAAUGCCCGAUAGGAAUAUUGUUUGCUCCAACAGAGUAAUCAUUUCUUACAACAAAAAAGGAUUAAUUUGUUUGCACUGUAUCUUCUUAGUGAUGAUGAUACUGCGUACUAAGCCUAUUUGGAGCUUUUGCAACUUGAAGUGGAGCUCAAGAUAGACAAAUUAAGAAGGUUUUAAACGUGCAAAUGAAGAUUCUAAGGUAUUUAAAAACUGUAACCCACUUGAAUGCAUCAUCUAAAUUGCUUCUCAUUAAAGAAAUUUCUAAAAGAUAUUGUGGCGAGACCUGACUGGGCAUGGCACUUGCUACGACUCUCAUUCCUCUAAUAACUCAUAGAGGUGAUCAAUUUUCUUCUCAUUCUCCCAUCCUGUUGCGCCUAGUGGAUCAAGCUCAUUCACCACACAUUUGAAGCGCUGGCCUUGACCGGGUCGAUCGUAUAUGUUGGCCAUACCCAUGGAGGUAAUAGUUACCAGACUUGCCUCUCAGAAGGACUUGACGAUCUUCUCUAUCAAGUGUGUCAGUGUUUAUACGAGCUCCUCUGACUAAACUCAUUGAUACUCGUUAUUCAUGCCAACUUCUCCUAUCAAAUUUGCCCAUGCUCAUUGAGCUCUUCUAUCGAGCUUGCCCACAACCAACGAGCUCUCCAACUAAGCUUGUCUGCAUCCAUGAAGCUACGUUAUCAAGUUCGGUCAACAGUCCUUCACAACAAGAAGAAGGAACUUCGUUCCAUCAUUGUCCAUGCCCAUUUAUUGAUUGCACGACGUCCACAUUUAGAAUCUUAUCAGCAACGAGUUUUGACAGGCUCUGUAUAGCACAACCUAUAAUAUUGCAUUUAUGUAUUAUUUGUAGCCCUAUGAGGGCAAGUAUAUUUUAGGAAAUACAAAUAUGUGGGAAAGGAAGAGGGCUCUCUCUCUCCUCUUCUUUCUCACCACCAUCAAUAACAACACAAUCUCUAAAAUCUUUAGCUCUUUUCUACUCCUUUCAUAAGGUUUCUCCCAAAUUGUAUCAACUCACGGACAAUACAAGAUCCUACAUCGUAAAAGGAUUCAACAGACUCAAACUUAAUCCUGGGAACUAGUUCAAUUUUAUAAAUCGUUCAAUUUUAGGAUCAACAUCACCCAAUUAGCCCGAAUGUGACUUAUCUAAUCCAAUUAACAGUGACCCAAAUACAAAUAGUGAUCAUAUCGAUUUUGAGUUGCUUUUUGGUAAUUUGGGUCAACUUGAACAUAACCCGAAUAAUAAUUUGGUCUAUAAUUUACGACGGGCAACUCAGAUAGUAAUGGUCAAUCUGAAUCAGAAAUUUUCUAAGUUGAUUUCAGGUCAGAUUGCUAGAUCAUGUCAUUGGCAUUCCUAUUACAUAUUCUAUUAUUAACAUUAGCC